CGCCAUUCCAGGCUCCAACUGCCACUUCCACGCAGGCUGCAGGACCACCCGUCCCAGGACCGCCAUUCCAGGCUCCAGCUGCCACUUCCACGCAGGCUGCAGGACCGCCAUUCCAGGCUCCAGCUGCCACUUCCACGCAGGCUGCAGGACCACCCGUCCCAGGACCGCCAGUCCAGGCUCCAGCUGCCACUUCCACACAGGCUGCAGGACCGCCAGUCCAGGCUCCAGCCGCCACUUUCAUGCAGGCUGACCCCAAUAUUUGAACUGCCUUUCCUAAUCAUCAUAUUGUGUCAUCUGUGUGACAUAGGGAAGACUUCUACAUGGACUCCUCUGACUCAGAAGUUGAAAUCCUCUCUGUUCUCCAGUCAGGUGCAACAACCCCAAUGAUGUCAAAUGUCUGGCUGACAUUUUGAAAAACUUUCAAAAUGACCAUCUUGACCUCAGUUGCAGUAUCACAGUCAUUGCCAGGUGCAAAAACAUUCUUCAGAGUGCAUGUGUUGCUCUAAGCAGGAGCUAUUUUGCCUGGCAUAAACUGCCACAUAUCGAGUUUGUUGGGGAGAUGGCAGAGGACUAUGGAGGUCCAAGGAGAGAGUAUUUCGUGUGUGUGGUUUUACAGACUCCUCAUGAUUGAAUUGCAGGAAAAGAUGGGCAUUUUCCAAGGAAGACCAGGGCGGCUGCUUUUCAGCUAUGACCAACGGGCGUUGGCACAAAACAAGUUUUACACUGCGGGAAAGCUGGUGGCCUGGUCCAUUAUGCACAAUGGACCAGGUGUCCGAUGCCUGAACCCAGACUUAUUUCUACUCAUGUGUGGCCAGAAGCCUGAGAUGACCUCCUUUUGAUCUGGAUAUUUUCCAGGAAGAGGAGUUUCAGAUGAAGCUUGAAAAUGUUGUGAGAUGCGGCACCAGUGAGGAGCUAGAGGAGCUCAAAUGCACAUUGGGGGACUGGAUAGCUGACUGUGGUGUGCCAAACAUUUAUACAGCCUCUGUCAG